GCCGGUGUAGCUCAGAUGGUAGAGCACCGCCCCACUUUCCUCGGCUUUCCCUGAGUGGAGAGAGGCGGAGGUCAGAGGUUCAAGUCCUCUCACUGGUACCA
rnacentral:tRNA from 1 species